UCGUCGGUUUCGCGAUUUAACGGUGGGGACCUCCACCGUUAAAGUUAGCGUCGGUUAUAGGUCAUCGGUUAGCGAAAUUUCGGCCCAUGAAUACGCCGUUGUCGCGCUAACCGACGACUAGUCACGUGACCGGUAUCGGUUAAGGCUUAACCGACGUCCAUGAAUACAAGCCCUGGUCACUGACAGCUGUAGAUACCAAGCUCCUGCUACAGUCUGCAGCACACACUAUGGAGAAUACAGAAGCAGGAUAUGGCUGUCACUGACCAGCUAUCUGGUUGUUGGUGUUGGAACACUCACAGCAAUCUGGCUUUGGCGUUCUUGUCAAGAGCAGAUGACUUUUAAACGGAUGGGUGUUCCUGGUCCGACACCUAUUCCCAUUAUUGGAAACAUGUUGACCAUAUUAAGAAAGGGAAUGGUUCACGUCUUUCCUUUUUGGAACAAACAGUAUGGCAAAAUAUAUGGUGUUUUCAUGCCCUCACCAGUUCUAGUAAUUAACGACCUUGAUCUGAUCAAAGAUAUUGCAAUCAAACAGUUCCAGUCGUUUCCCAACAGAAAGGUAGAGUUAUUACUUCAGUUUUGUUGAGGAGAUUGCUUAAUUUUCUUUAUAUUGCAAAA
rnacentral:misc_RNA from 1 species